AGAGCGAACGCUGGCGGCAUGCUUAACACAUGCAAGUCGCACGGGCAUUUCGGUGUCAGUGGCGGACGGGUGAGUAACGCGUAGGUAUCUAUCCUUGGGUGGGGGAUAACGGUUGGAAACGACUGCUAAUACCGCAUGAUAACUGAGGUUUAAAGGCGCAAGUCGCCUGGGGAGGAGCCUGCGUACGAUUAGCUUGUUGGUGGGGUAAAGGCCUACCAAGGCGACGAUCGUUAGCUGGUCUGAGAGGAUGAUCAGCCACAUUGGGACUGAGACACGGCCCAAACUCCUACGGGAGGCAGCAGUGGGGAAUAUUGGACAAUGGGCGAAAGCCUGAUCCAGCAAUGCCGCGUGUGUGAAGAAGGUCUUCGGAUUGUAAAGCACUUUCGACAGGGACGAUGAUGACGGUACCUGUAGAAGAACGCCCCGGACUAACUUCGUGCCAGCAGCCGC
rnacentral:rRNA from 1 species